GCUGAGGUGGUCUAAAUAGACACCUGAUUUCGACCCAGGAGAACUUACAACAUAAGCCACAGCA
rnacentral:tRNA from 1 species